rnacentral:sRNA from 1 species
GUUCCAGAACAAAUUCUACGAGAUUUCUCUUAUAGUGUACAAGGCAUAGGAAUAUGGCAACUUUAAUUAUGGGGACACAAAUUCAUUACAUUGAGGUUACAUACAAUAACUAUCGAUCACGGUGGGUAAUGUUUUGAAGCUAGACAACCCACAGAGAAUUGCAGAAUAAAGUAAAUCAUAAACAUUGUCUUAGUAGUUUACUCCUCCAUAACAUGACAUCAUCCAACUUAUUUACAUACGCACUAUACUGGUGCCCGCUACGACGUCUAGGCAUCCAUAUUUAAUUGUUAGAAGUAUGUAUAGCAGCUACAGUUGAAACCAUCGAGUCCACCCCACAUACAUUGUGACCUCGGCAGAUCUUGUAAUAUCCGUUUUCUCCCCAGCUUUCCCCCCAUGAAUUCUUUAUGAUCCAGAAAGGCUUUUCCUUAAGCCGAAUUGGAGCAUAAGCACCAGCACCAUAGCCUACCAGAAGAACUCCAUGAUCCAGGUGCUUCCCGCAGAUGUAUGGGCAUGAGACGCCACCAAUAUAUGUCUGCAUAAAAACUGCAUUGAUACCAACUGUACCAUGGAAAGCAAAAGUCAGUGUUUCCUCUAAUCAGAGAUUCAACAUAUCUUAUUCUUGGUGGGACGAUCAAAUGAUUGAAACUAUCCUGGAGAUAUUUUAGUAUUUCCUUGGAGGUAAAUGAUUAUAAAUAAAAGGGAGUCAGGCAAAAAAACAGAGCUACCUGCAAGAGGACCAUUCUUCACCAGAUUAGCCGCAAUUUGUUCUUCGUCAAGGGAAACAACGCUAAAAUUAGCUACAGAUGCUGCGAUUUUGCUCUUAUCAAAUUUGCAGGGGCCGCGGUCUCUUCCGGUGUAAGGAUAGUCAUUUUCUCGCAUUAGUCCUCCAGCCUUGAGUGAGUACUCGAAUGCAGUGGUCAUCAACCCACCGUUACAACCAGAGUCACAUGCUCCACGCUCUUCCGGGUCACACUAAGAAAGUUAUAGGCACAUGAUUAAUGCACGAUGUUUUUGCAAAAUCCAAACCAGGUCACAGGUGGUUAAUUUUACUUUUUAGCAUCAACCUAACUAUUCAACUUGAGUUUAAAUUCUCAAAAAAAUAAAAAGAUUCCACUGAUCGGAGCAUCAUGCGUCAAUAUAUCACAACUGUGGUCAAAUCAAUUGCUAUGCAAGUGCAUGAAUGACAUAUUAGCAAAAGGAAGAGACAAUACUUUCUAUAAAUAAAAAAGACUAACCUCGUGAUCACAAUCCACGAGUUGUUGUUCGCUUAGACUCACGAGCUCACCGGUCGAAAGAAAAUGAGCACCUUCCAGCGCUCCCACAGCGCUAAACGACCAACACGACCCGCAAGAACCUUGAUUCUUGACGCCAGUAACGGCUCCAUGGUCGCGCCAAUCGAAAUCGCUAGGGAGGUCGUUGGUCGGAAGGAUCGGAGCCUUCUGAGCGUCGGUGG